CAGGCACUUGAGCCCCUAUGCUCCGGCCACUCCCACACUGGGGAGUGUACUUUCAUUUUCAGUAAAUCCCUUCAUUCCUUCCUUGUUUUGCUGGUGCGUUUUGUCCAAUUCUUUGUUCAAGAUGCCAAGAACCUGGACACCCUCCACCGGUGACACAGCCAUGUGGAACUGUCUAACCAUAAAAUCAUCAAUACUGAGAAAUUAAAAGGGGAACAUGUCAGGCCUCACUCUUUCUGUAUUGGAUUUCAAGAGUAUUGUCCUUGGUCACCAGGUAUGCCCCUGGGCUCCUGCCGCAGCUGAUCGGGUGCUAGGUGCUGAGGAUACACGUCUGGGAGAAAGCAAUUGGAAGAAAUGCAAAGCUCUUCAAAGGAGACCUAUAAAGUCAUCUUUGUUUUGUUCAUUCUUCUCAUGUUUCUGCAUUCUGGGCAUUCUCCUAAAUUGGGGAGAAACCAAAAUGCCCAGAAGUCAAAUUCUGCAACUGUCAUCAUGCAAAAUGUCAAAUGAGAGAACCAAAGUAUGCUGGAUUCUAUAUUGUUAGGAAGGGAUGGUUAAUUUGAUUGACUCUUGGGAGCUAUUUUUCUAGCAUUAAGUAAUUCUAGGGAACCCUUCUGUGAUCAUCUCUGAGUAAAUAAAGAAGUGAAAUUGCAAUUCAAAUAAGGAAUCAACUUUAAUGCUCUCAUAGAGAAUAUAAGCCAAAUUACAGUGUGAAUUUAAAUUGUAAUAUGUCAGAGGCACAUUAUCUCAAUGGCAAUAUUUUCUAAAAUGUCUCUUCUUUUUUUUUUUUUUUUUUUUUUGAGACGGAGUUUUGCUCUUGUCCGCCAGGCUGGAGUGCAAUGGCUUGAUCUUGGCUCACUGCAACCUCCACCCAGGU
rnacentral:lncRNA from 1 species